rnacentral:tRNA from 1 species
UAGAUUGAAGCCAGUUAACUAGGGUGUUUAGCUGUUAACUAAAGUUU